GGCGUUAAAUCAGAGUAUAUUUACAUGCCUUGGGUUGUCGUGGAACUGAUGAGAGAAAUUUUUCAAGACUUCAUUUGUAAUAAUGAAUAAAUUGUAAAAAAAUAAAAAAAAAUACUUAAAGUUUAAGUCUUGAACAUAGAAAAAGAUACACAAAAACAUCAAGCCAAUCAGGUUUUUGAAUGUACUCAGAAACGGUGUUUUUAAAUGUUAUUUUCAAAUCGAUAUGAACCUUACUUGGUUCACAUUACUGACCAAUCGCAAUAUUUUGACGUUUCACAUAUGUCACAAUUAACUAUUAAACACUUGUGUUUUUAUUGUGGUUCAGCUCCAUUGUUUUCCAUAUUUUUGAAAAGCAUUUUUUUUUAGAUAUUUUGAAUUCAAAGAUAUGAGCGGCGGUGGAAACAGGAGAGACACAAAUCUAACUGCAACAGCAGCAGUAGCAACGAUAGCCGCUGGUGUUGCAGCUGGAUAUGCACUUUAUAGAGGAGUCGAAUGGUUGUUAGGUUCAAAUGAAUCACAGGAGAAUCAACCACAUCAAAAUCAUCCGCAUCAACAAAACCAACCAAAUCCAUACAGAGAACAGUUGCGACUGCCCAUGAUCAGACGUCCUCAACCAAUUACGCCUCAUCGAUUUUUGCGAAACCAAGUUAUUCAUGUGGUUAACACAGUCGAACAGUGUCAAUAUUCAAUGAAAGAACUGAAGACGCAUUGCGACGAAUAUAAUGUGCUUGGCUUCGAUUGUGAAUGGAAUUCAGAGCAGGAAAGCGGUCGUCAGUUGCCCUACUUCAAUUGGCAAGUUCUCGUGGUCUGUGUAUUGUCAUUCGUUUAUCGGAAUUGCAACACAUUCCAAAGGAACUAGAGGCAAUUCUAGAAGAUGGUAGCAUUAU